UUUUUUUUUUUUUUUUUGGUUGGGGGAAGGUGGCAAGGGCUAAUAUUUAUCUUACAUUAUUCUGCAGUGUUUAAAUUUGUAAAAGCUCCCCUGGUGAUUCUGAGGUAUAGCCAAUGUUGAAUGCUACAACAAACAUGGAAGUACAGAUAUCUCAUCUAUAUACUGAUUUCCUAUCUUUUUGGUAUAUACCCAGCAGUGGGAUUGCUGGAUUGUAUGGAAGCUCCAUUUUUAGUUUUUUGAGGAACCUCCAAACUAUUCUCCAUAGUGGUUGUGCUAAUUUACAUUCCCACCAACAGCGUACAAGCGUUCCCUCUUCUCCAUAUCCUCGCCAGCAUUUGUUAUUGCCUGUCUUUUGGAUGUACGCCAUUUUAACUGGGGUGAGAUGAUAUCUCAUUGUAGUUUUGAUUUGCAUUUCUCUGAUGAUCAAUGAUGUUGAGCACAUUUUCAUGUGCCUGUUUGCCAUUUGUACGUCUUCUUUUGAGAAAUGUAGGCACCCUGCUUCAACAAGCCUUCUGGGUGAUUUGGAAACACACGCAAGUUCCGUGAUCACUGUCCUGGGGACUCCCAGCCAAAUGUCCUCCCAGUGUCUGAGCUCUCCAGAACUCUCUGGAGUCUUCCCCAACAGAGAGCUGGACUCAUAUCAGGGAGAUGAAACAGACAAUGUCAGGAAAUUAGACUGUGGCAAGACCGUGGGGAGUUUGGACUUGAAACUAAAGUAAGAAAGGAGCCACGAUGAUGUUUUGGCCAGGGGAGGAUAUGUAUUAAAGUGGUAUUGGAGACCAGGUAGCUGCAGAGCUUCAAGAAAGCAGGCUUGACUCCAAUCCCUGCUGAAAUGGUAGGCAAAAUUGGUGUGUGUGUGUGUGUGUGUGCAUCUUCUGAAGAGGUUUCACAACUUGCAUUCAAUUUUCAAGUGAAUUCACCACCCCAGAAUGAUUGCUAGAGAGGAAAUUAUUUUAUUGCUUAAUAUAUGAGCUUUGAGGCAGUGGUCUCAAAGUGUGGUCACAUCAGUAUUAGAAUUGUUUGAGCUGUGUGUUAAAAAUAUACAUUCCUGGGCCACAUUCAAGAGCUACUAAAUCAGAAUCUCUGGAGUUGGCACCCAUGAAUCUGCAUAUUUUAAGCAAGUUCUCCAGGUAAUUCAGCUAAUUCUGAUGUACUCUAAAGUUAAUAUAUCUCAGGCUGUAAAUCUAAAAACUAGCAAUUCUAGGAAAGCAAAGUUAAUAGUGAAUUUAGAAAGCAUGUUGACCACUAAAGCAUGGUACUGAGGUCUAAAAAGCACUUACAAUAUCCAAAGUGUCACCGAACUGGGAACAGUAGCCACAGCAAACACUUUCCUGGGCAUUUCAGUGACCAUCCACUUAAAAGCUGUAUUCUGUAAGUAACACCAUAUAAAUAGCAAGAAAAGCUUGAGGAAUUCAUCCUCAAACUCUGACAGUUCAACUAACUUCUCAGAGGUGGAUAGAGAAUAAGUUUGUGUGUUUUCUAUGGCAGAUUGCACUAAGAUAACCAUGAGAAAGACAGGAGAAAUGCUAUUGACAGAAGAAACACUA
ensembl:lncRNA